rnacentral:tRNA from 1 species
GGUAAUAUGGCUGAGGAUAAGCAUUGAACUGUAAAUUCAAAGACAGAGAUUAGAAUCUCUUUUUACCA